rnacentral:tRNA from 1 species
GCUGGUGUGGCUCAGUGGUUGAGCGUCCACCUAGGAACUGGAGGUCAGGGUUCAAUUCCCCGUCCGGGCA